GUUAGGUUCUUGGAUCAACUCAUACGUCCUAAUUGAUUGGAACUCCGCGGGAACUUUCUUCUUGUUUUCAAGCUUAUCUGCUGUAACCAUUUUUGUCAAAGCUGGAACCAGAGAAGAAAUUCAAACAUCAAUGAAUCGGUUUUCAGCAAAUAGAUAAAAACAUUGCAGAAUGAAGCGUGUUCUGAAUGUCAGCAAAACUUUGCAAUUCAAGGUUUCAUUGUAGCUCUGAUCCUGAGAAAAAUACUAAUUACCACACAACUUCAUUUUCUUUGUUGUAAACCUGUUGGUGAUCAGUACCUUAGAACAAUGGAGUAUAUGUUCGUUGGUCCAU